CGUUGUUAUACCACGGCGAACACCGUAUAUUUAUCUCUCUCCCGUAAUUACUCCUUCACACCCCCACAUCCUCCUCCAUCUUCAAUUGGCCGAUCGAUCUGGAACGUUGCCGCUCUAUCUCCGCCGUAACCGCCAAUUAGCUUAACCUUCCGUUGCCGCUCUAUCUCCGCUGUCACCGCCGAUUAGCUUAACCUACCGAUUAGAUCAGAAUUCAAAGAAGAGGAGUGGUGUUGGAAAUAUCAGAUAGAAGGCGGCAAAGGUUAUAGCAUUAUGUGAGAAAUUCAAGGAGAUCUUAAUGGAUCAAAGCAAACGUUCAGGAAUUGAGACAAAAAGAUGUUAGAUGAGAAGGAGCACUUAGUAUGGGAGAAGGAGCGCUUAGUACGAGAGAGGAAUUGGGAUCUCCUUGAAGUCGAUCCAAACUAUCGAAAUUGUUGUUUGUGAUGGUAAAGAUGGAUAUAUUUAUCUUAAGGACUGUCUCGUAUCCCAGUUAGCUUCAUGUCUAAAAUCACUGUUUUUUUUUUCGGUUUUUCUUGUUAAUGUUUUUGCCUCAAUGUAUACUCGAAUUAAUGGCUUAGAUUAUUGGCUAGACACAAAGUUAUCAGGUUCAAAUCCUUAAA